GUCCCGGUAGGGUAGAGGAUAUCCUUGGGGCUUGCGGAGCCUUAGACCCGUGUUCGAUUCACGGUCGGGACG
rnacentral:tRNA from 1 species